GUCCUCACCUGCAUGGCUCCAUGGAUAGAGAAUCUCAAUUUCUGGAAACUUAAGGAUUCUGGCUGGAGUGAGAGAUUGUUGAAAAGUCUGUAUUAUGUGACAUGGAGACAUGGUGAUCAGUUUCCUGAUGAAAUUGAAAAGCUUUGGAGCACAAUUGCUAGCAAACCCAGGAACAUAAGUCCCGUUUUAGAUUUUUUGAUUGCAA
rnacentral:misc_RNA from 1 species